GUGAUGGCCAGCAGAGGGCGCCCCAUCAGCUUUUCUGACCCAGGGCACCUCAGAGCAGGAAGGGCUUCUGUCGCCCCCAGAGGACUCAGGGCCUCUGCCGCUGCCUCAGGACAGAGACGAGAGCUGCGUUUCCAGCAGAUUCAGGCUUGUUUCCGGGGAGAAAUCCUGACAGAAAUUCAGAAGAACGGAGCUGCAUUCAGUUAGGACGUGAAGACAUGAAAUGCCCGUUUGUCUCAGGACCUUGUAGAAGAAUGAGCUGGUAGCCACUUUCCGAGUCCUGCUGGAACCAGAGACCGAGGUUUCCAUCCUGUCAAUGAUGAUCUUUUUGGACAAAGCAGCACAAACCGAACCCAGAACUGGAUGUGGACAGCUGUGGAGAAACCUGGACUGUGGUCUUCAGUCUUCAGGAAGAACUGAAGUUCUUCUGAAGUUCCCAUCAAGAACCCCAUGAAAAAACUGUUGUUUAACCACAGUAUGAAUGAACCCAAUAGGAAGGAAGAAUCCACCUAUGUCUCAUGUUUACUCACAUUUGGGUUUGAGUAACUAGGACACCAGAGCAUGAGUAGACAGAAAAACACCCUCUGCACCUUCGUGUCCUGGUUGUUAUCAGGGGGCACCAGGGCACCAGGGAGGAAGUGGGGGUGGGAAUGGAGUGGGGUGAUAAUUGGGGCUGGAGGUGGUGUUUCAGUAAAGGUGGGAUUGGGGAGGGUGUGUGUGUCAGGAGAAGAAGGGGGUGAGGGACAGUACCAAGAUCAGAUCAAGUUCUUGAGUGGAGGAAGGGGGGUUCAGACAGGUUAGUUGGUCAGCAGGUCAACAAAUCACUAGGUGAGCAGGACACAAGUAGCAGCUGGAGCAGAGGAGGAUCCAUCUAUCUUCAAGCCUUCAACUCCCUGAGCAUUGCUUUAACAGCCUGUAACAUUUAUACUCUCUCUCUCUCAACCAAUCAGCUGCCUUCACCCCUGGGAGAUCAACACAGACACCCAGCGUGACUUAAUUUUUUAAAAAGCCACUUCUCACCUGCCACAUCACCAUGUGCCAUCCCAAUGACUGUUGCUCUCUGGAACACUGGCAGACCUUCUGGUUUCUGGUCCCUCCCAACCCAGGUCCCUUUCCCCUCUUCUUGGAGCUCUCUCCUCCUUUCAGAACUCCAACGAAAUACAUAAGCAGAGUGAGCAUCUUCAACCCUCUCUAAAUAACCCAAAGAAGAUAGAACAUACAUAAGAUAUAGAUCUUGAUAGCAACCAUCUAAAUCCUACAGCAAUAUCCAUUUAUGUGUCCACAUCUACAUAUAACACUGUUGAGGACACAUUAACUUUAAGCACAUAGGAUGCAGAUACAAAAAUUCACACUAUUUUGGCCAUCCGUGAAAUUUCAAUAUAUUCCAGAGGAAUGAAACACACAGAAUAUCUUUUGGUAAUUUAAUGUGCUAGAAAUAGCUGCUAAAAACCUAACUAGAAAUUCCCGUAUGUUUAGUAAUUGAGAAGUACCUUCAUAAAUAUGAAUAAAGAAAUCCCAAAGAAAAAGAGCUA